UACAGAGGUGCCAAGCGUUGUUCGGAUUUAUUGGGCGUAAAGGGUGCGUAGGCGGUGAUGCAAGUCGGAUGUGAAAUACCGGAGCCUAACUCCGGAACGGCAUUCGAAACUGCAUUGCUAGAGAACUGGAGAGGUGACUGGAAUUCACGGUGUAGCAGUGAAAUGCGUAGAUAUCGUGAGGAACACCAGAGGCGAAAGCGAGUCACUGGACAGAUUCUGACGCUGAAGGCACGAAAGCUAGGGGAGCAAACGGG
rnacentral:rRNA from 1 species